rnacentral:pre_miRNA from 1 species
UUAAUACUCUCUCCGUCCCAAAAUUCUUGUCUUAGAUUUGUCUAGAUACGGAUGUACCUAAUACUAAAACGUGACUUGAUACAUCCAUAUUUAGACAAAUUUAAGACAAAAUUUUUGGGACGGAGGGAGUACAAG